UGUGAUUUAUCCACAGUUCUAUUAUAAAUUAUAGGGGUAAUCUUUGACUUUGCUUUCUCUCAAAGGCUACAAAUACAUCUGGAAAUUUCACUGAUUCUACAUUUAAAAUAUCUUCAGAAUUUAGGAAGUUCUUCAGACAAAAGGAAUAUGAGACCAACCAUAAAAUUUGAUAUACAUCAAGAAAUGAAGAACAUUAGAACUGGAAUCAAGCAAGGAUUCUGGAAGCUGAGGCCAAGCUAUGACAGGAGGGACUUGCAAGUCUCACACUUUCUCCAAUCCCUCUCCCUCCUAUUGCAGGUAAGGAUCCUAUGAUGGGGAAUUGACUUGAGGUUUGUG
rnacentral:lncRNA from 1 species